GAAUUCAACUCCUACGGGAGGCAGCAGUGGGGAAUAUUGGACAAUGGGGGGAACCCUGAUCCAGCCAUGCCGCGUGUGUGAAGAAGGCCUUAUGGUUGUAAAGCACUUUAAGCGAGGAGGAGGCUACUCUAGUUAAUACCUAGGGAUAGUGGACGUUACUCGCAGAAUAAGCACCGGCUAACUCUGUGCCAGCAGCCGCGGUAAUACAGAGGGUGCGAGCGUUAAUCGGAUUUACUGGGCGUAAAGCGUGCGUAGGCGGCUUAUUAAGUCGGAUGUGAAAUCCCCGAGCUUAACUUGGGAAUUGCAUUCGAUACUGGUGAGCUAGAGUAUGGGAGAGGAUGGUAGAAUUCCAGGUGUAGCGGUGAAAUGCGUAGAGAUCUGGAGGAAUACCGAUGGCGAAGGCAGCCAUCUGGCCUAAUACUCACGCUGAGGUACGAAAGCAUGGGGAGCAAACAGGAUUAGAUACCCGGGUAGUCCAGGCGUU
rnacentral:rRNA from 1 species